CCUACGGGUGGCAGCAGUGGGGAAUAUUGGACAAUGGGGGAAACCCUGAUCCAGCGACGCCGCGUGAGUGAAGAAGUAUUUCGGUACGUAAAGCUCUAUCAGCAGGAAAGAAAAUGACGGUACCUGACUAAAAAGCCCCGGCUAACUACGUGCCAGCAGCCGCCGUAAUACGUAGGGGGCAAGCGUUAUCCGGAUUUACUGGGUGUAAAGGGAGCGUAGACGGCAGCGCAAGUCUGGAGUGAAAUGCCGGGGCCCAACGCCGGAACUGCUCUGGAAACUGUGAAGCUGGAGUGCAGGAGAGGCAAGCGGAAUUCCGGGUGGAGCGGUGAAAUGCGUAGAGAUCAGGAGGAACACCGGCGGCGAAGGCGACUUACUGGACGGUAACUGACGCUGAAGCACGAAAGCGUGGGUAUCGAACAGGAUUAGAUACCCUGGUAGUC
rnacentral:rRNA from 1 species